UGGCCACCUGUCACUACCCCGCAGGUUUGGCGGCGGCCCUCUGGGGCAGGGACCUUUCUGAAUAUGUCUUAAGGCCCCUACUGGCCUUUUUAGUCAAGCCAGGACUGCAUGCGGCCCACCUGGCUGUGUGGCCUUGGCAACGCACACUCUCCGGGCCUUGGUACCUAAGUCGGAAGUCACUUUCUCCUUCCGCGCUAGAGAGGCCGGCCACCCCUCCUGCUCCAGGUGUGGAAGAGCACCUUACAACAGCUCCCUUAGAAGCCUGCCCAGCUGCCCGAGACCCAAGGCUGCAGAGUACUGGAAGGGCGGGGACACACGGGCCCCACAUGUAUGCUGCCUAGUCCAGGUGGGAGAAAUGAAGCUCAGAGCGUCGGGCUCCAGGACGGCCCGGAAAGCUGAGUCAGGGCCCUGACUCAGGUUGAGGACUGAGGUGAACAAUUCCAUAAAACAUGUGAAAAAAGCAAGGAAGUGUUCAACGCUGAAGGCCCCGGGCCUGGGACAAGGGCAUGAGGGGCGUGGCCCCCCAGCAGGCAGCGGCGGUUCCUAGGUUAGCGCUACGGAGCUACAUUUUAGGUUAAUAGAGCCUGGGCCCAGGGCCGCUGGGGCAGGGCCCUCAGUGACGUUGGCAGUUGUCUGGAACAGCCCUCGGAACCCAAUUCUGUGGAGGGCAGGGCAGGGGUGCCGCUCGCACAGGGGCGGCCAGCAGAGGGACGGGUGUAAACACGCAGACACACUCAAGGCACGGAGUCACUUGGAAGGGGGGCUGGGGGGGGGCGUUGCUGGUCAGGAUCUGACAGUUUUAAAUAGUUUUUCUCUAAAAAGUUUUCUAGAUUUGCAGUUUGUUUUUUUUUUUUCCUUUACUUUCAUUUUUUUAAAAAGCUAUGAGAAUGAGCCGGUGGACUGUGGUUUCCAGGAAUGGUGGCGUCUCACGCUUCUUGUGCUUUUUCCUUUGGGGCCUCCGAGCGGCUGGGGGUGGGGGACUGGGCAGGAGGCUCCCUGUAAACAUUUGGACUUGGGCUGGGGCAGGGGCUGGUGUUGGGCAAAGCUGGGGGUCCAGGCUGGAGAAGCAGGGGCCCCUCCAGAUGCAGCCUUGGGAGACUCAGCAUGUGCCCCCCUCCCCUCAUCACAGAACAAGACAAUGGUUAAAAA